AAUAGAUACCCGGGUAGUCCACGCCGUAAACGAUGGAUACUAGCUGUUGGAGGUAUCGACCCCUCCAGUAGCGAAGCUAACGCGUUAAGUAUCCCGCCUGUGGAGUACGGUCGCAAGACUAAAACAUAAAGGAAUUGACGGGGACCCGCACAAGCGGUGGAUUGUGUUCUUUAAUUCGAUGAUAAACGAAGAACCUUACCAGGGUUUGACAUCCCAAGAAUUAUGCCGAAAGGCGUGAGUGCUUUAUUGAACUUGGUGACAGGUGAUGCAUGGCCGUCGUCAGCUCGUGUCGUGAGAUGUUUGGUUAAGUCCAUCAACGAGCGCAACCCUUGUGAAUAGUUGAAUUUUUCUAUUCAGACUGCCCCGGCAACGGGGAGGAAGGAGGGGAUGAUGUCAGGUCAGUAUUUCCCUUACAUCCUGGGCUAGAAACGCAAUACAAUGGUUAGUACAAUGCGCGGCGAAGCCGCGAGGUGAAGCAAAUCGCAUCAAAGCUAAUCCCAGUUCGGAUAAGAGGCUGAAACUCGCCUCUUUGAAGUCGGAAUCG
rnacentral:rRNA from 1 species